AUAACCUGGGGAUUUUCUAAGUAUACAAAUUCUGAUUUAGUACUUUUGGAAUGUUGUCUGAGAUUCUGCAUUGCUAACAAGCUCCCAGGUGAUGCCAGU
rnacentral:miRNA from 1 species